GACGAAAAUGGAGAAGGAACGUGAACUGCCGCAAGACAAUAGUGAUUCAGAAAUUUGAUGUUUAUUUUCCUGUAGAUGGUGAUCAAUCAUCAUCUGCUCAAGGAGAAGGUAACCAAACAAUUGAUAUUAAAAUGGGAAGAGCAAGAAAUUUCUGAGGGAGUAGAGAGGAUGCAGGCCACUGCACAGGAUACUCCAGUUGAAACUAGGAUAAUAAAAGGAUCAUUUCCUCUUUUUGAAGGCCCGAACAGAGGUAAAUUAUUAUAAUAUCGAUCAUUCCUGAAUUAAGGCAAGUAGACUAUUGAAAAUCUCAACUUUGUAAU